UUCAGUGCAUGUGCUUUGAGGCGACACGGACAUUCGGCCCAUCACAGUGACCAUGGGAUGGAAGUAAGGGGUUGGCGUCUGUAGCAUUGCAGGGAUGAAAUCUACCAGACUUAACAUCGAUUGAUGUGGGCGAGAAGGCAAGUGGUGAUCAAAGACGCUUUUGAGUGUCAGGCUUCAGUGACUGUAAGAAUAGUGACAUCGUGUAAAGAUUUAGGAAAUUUAGGAGCAAAUGCAGCUUCUGGAAGAGGUGGGUUUUUAGGCCAAUCAAACUGGAGGUGCUGUCAGGAGGAAAUUAUGUGGUGGCUUGUUACAAAUUUGGGGGGAAUGUUUCCUACGCGCUAGACAGCGGCCCUUUAAGUGCAUGAUGCCAUUUAAUUAGCAAACCACCGUACGGGGUAAUGCUGUUAUAGUCUCCUUUUUCUAGAUGACGAAACGGACACUUGUGGCAUUCCAGGCUGGAAAAUUAUAGCCCAUGUUACUGAAAGAAACUCGUCAGAUCAGAUCACCCAAACUGCUAUGGGUGGUCUUUGUGAACCACGGAAAACCCAAGUGGUUUGGAAAACUGGAGACCAACAAAUGGAGUUCAGAUUUCCAACCAAGAAAGAAGAUGGGGUCUGCAACUGAAGAAGCUUCCAGAAAGCCUGGUGGAAGAUCAAAGGGCUGGCGUGUGAGCACCUAGGAGAGGAAACCACGGACCUAACAGCCAGCGUGGGCUCACCACGAGCAAGUUCUGCGCGAUUAACUUCAUCCAGAAUGCUGACAGCACGGCGUUUGGCAAGAGAAAGGACACGAAUAUACUGCGAUUUGUUGAUCAUCUCCCCUAAGCGGGACGUUCACACUGAUUUUAGUUUCUGGCUACCGUGAAGAAGUACAGACACGCCCUCCAAGUUGACACCAGUGGCCAGGCAAAUGGAAUCAGGAGUCAGGCACUGGGAAAGAAGAAAGAAGGGCAGGAGCAGAACCCAGAAGACUGGAAUUAACGCCCCGAACUGGGCUCUGGGGACAGCGCAGCGCAGCUGCUGAAGAUUGGAGGAAAGGGUAAGAGACAGCUCCAAGAGAAUGGGCCGAAAGGUCAAGACCAGCCACCAACAGGUGCGGUUGCUAAGGUUAGAGUGGGACGUGAAGCAAGAUCAACCUGAGGGCUGCAAGCUGGGGUCCUUGCCUGCGGUUGGAAUUGUCCCCAGAGCAGGGGCAGGUAGAGGGCAAAUAAGCCCACCUCCUGGCUCGGAUGGACGUGAGGACAGGGUGCCAAGUAAGCCGUGAACGUGCCUUCUUCCUGACUAUGUCCAUCCAUGACUCUGGUUUGGUCCGAAAAAUGCAAGCGGAAAGACUGAGGUCUGUACCUGUUUGUCCUGGGCAGCUGUCACCAGAAAGUGGACUGGAUUGGCAUUGAAGUCUUCCCAUCAGUAAUCAAUAAUUAAACACCUAUGAUAAGCAAAGCAUUAAGCCAGGGCUGAGGACUUCCAACUC